rnacentral:rRNA from 1 species
GAUGAACGCUGGCGGCGUGCCUAAUACAUGCAAGUCGAGCGAACAGACGAGGAGCUUGCUCCUCUGACGUUAGCGGCGGACGGGUGAGUAACACGUGGAUAACCUACCUAUAAGACUGGGAUAACUUCGGGAAACCGGAGCUAAUACCGGAUAAUAUAUUGAACCGCAUGGUUCAAUAGUGAAAGACGGUUUUGCUGUCACUUAUAGAUGGAUCCGCGCCGCAUUAGCUAGUUGGUAAGGUAACGGCUUACCAAGGCAACGAUGCGUAGCCGACCUGAGAGGGUGAUCGGCCACACUGGAACUGGGACCAGGUCCAGACUCCUACGGGAGGCAGCAGUAGGGAAUCUUCCGGAAUGGGCGAAAGCCUGACGGAACAACGCCGCGUGAGGGAUGAAGGUCUUCGGAUCGUAAAACUCUGUUAUUAGGGAAGAACAAAUGUGUAAGUAACUAUGCACGGCUUGACGGUACCUAAUCAGAAAGCCACGGCUAACUACGUG